UAGUGGCGGACGGGUGAGUAACACGUGAGCAACCUGCCUUACAGAGUGGGAUAACGUUUGGAAACGAACGCUAAUACCGCAUAACAUUAACUUAUCGCAUGGUAAGAUAAUCAAAGAAAUUCGCUGUAAGAUGGGCUCGCGUCUGAUUAGAUAGUUGGUGAGGUAACGGCUCACCAAGUCGACGAUCAGUAGCCGGACUGAGAGGUUGAACGGCCACAUUGGGACUGAGACACGGCCCAGACUCC
rnacentral:rRNA from 1 species